UGUUUUCCUCCAUCAUUUUUUGAUAUGCAAGUACACCUAAUCAUACAUCUCGUGGAUCAGAUAAAAAUAUUAGGGCCACUAUAUUUACAUCAUAUGUUUCAGUUGGAGCGAUACCUGGGAGUAUUAAAAGGUUAUGUGCGAAAUCGUGCUCACCCAGAGGGUUCAAUCAUGGAGGGAUACACUACAGAAGAAGUGAUUGAGAGCUGUAUAGAUUACAUCAGUGACGGAACAAUGAUUGGUGUGCCUGUACCUAAACAUGAGGGUAAACUAUGUGGAGAGGGAGAAUGGGCAAGAAAACUUUUCGCGUUGAGGAUUACAAGUAGUACAUUGUGCUCAUGGUAGUGUACUACAACAUCUCACGAUAGCCGAGCCUUACAUAGAGGAACACCUGGAUGAGCUUCGUAAAGAAAAUCAGAACCACACAUAGGACUGGAUCAUGAGGGAGCACAAACAUCGUUUCAGCGAAUGGUUAAUGGACAAAAACAUCCCAUUCGGAGACUCUUUGGAAGAGAAAACAAUGAAGAAUUUGGCUUCUGGGCCAUCGUGUUUUGUGACAUCAUGGCAAGCAUAUGACAUCAAUGGGUGCACAUUCUAUACUAAAUCAAAAGACAUGAAAAGUGUUGCACAAAAUAGCGGUGUUCGUAUCGAUGCUUUUGACCUACAUGGACAGAAGACCACAUAUUUUGGAUUCAUAGAGGAAAUAUGGGAACUUGAUUAUGGCCCAAGCAUGAAAAUACCCUUAUUUAAGUGCCAAUGGGUACAACAUCCCGUGGGGGUGAUAGUGGAUAACUACGGACUCACACUAGUAGACUUAAAGAAAGUAGGAUAUAAAGAUGACCCGUGGGUUCUCGCCGAAUGUGUUGCACAAGUGUUCUAUGUACUCGAUCCAGCAGAUGAGAAGAUGCAUGUAGUUAUUUCUGGAAAGCAAAAAAUUGUUGGAGUUGAGAAUGUGGGAGACCAAGAUGAGGAAUACAAUAAGUAUGAAGAGAUGUUCGUCUUUAACGGUCCAGAGAGAAUCAAGCGUGUGGAAAAGAAAAUUGAUAAGAACUUAAAGCCAUACAUGCGGAAAAAUGGUAGUUCAUGAAAAAUUGUAUGAAUCAAAUUGUAUUUGUUAUCAUGUAUGAUCGACUAUGAAUUGUGGUUGCCAAUUAAUUUAAAAUCUCUCUAGUUAUCUAUGUGUGCUAUUAUAAUUCAUUUAAAUUGUAUUUGCAUAUUUUUGUUAAAAAUUAAAUAUUAAUUCAUUUAAAUUGUAUUUGCAUAUUUCUGUUAAAAACUAAAAUAUUUUCAUAUUUAAAUUGUAUUUUUCAUUUUCACAAUCACAGGCGGUUUUUCCUUAGGGUCCGUUUGUGAAAAGGAUAGAGCACCACAGGCGGUUCUAAACAAAAACCGCUUGUGAUACUAUUACAUCACAGGCGUACCGAACCGCCUGGGACAUCACAGGGGGUUUUCUAACCGAACCGCCUGUGAUGUAAAAAGCCUACCGCUUGUAUAGAGCCAAAUUGUACUAGUGUGGGUUGUUUUAGUGGAGCAUUUUGGAUUGCAGGAUUGAAAAAGAAAAGAAAAUUACCAAUCUCUACUAUCUAUGAAGGUAAUAGUGUAGACCCCGGCACUAUCAUGACUCCACCCUCCCCAUCCCACGCACGCGCCCCUCACGCAGGAGUCAACAGUCCCUUCCGCGCAGGGCACACACAUGCCGCAUGACGUGCAUAGCGGGCCCGCAUGUUAGAACCGGCCCCUGCCCAAGGACACUCUCCCUCCCUCCCUCGCUCAUGGAUGCAGAGAAGAUGAGCAGUAGUUUUCUCCGGCGACGAACGCCUGUUUCUUGGCACUUUUAUUCCCUGGGCUUGGCAACGAAGAACAUAGGGGCUACAUAUAGGCCACAGACUACCAGGAGCACGUCUCCACAUCCGGCCUUCUUGCCGUGAUCCGCAUGACCCGCUCGACACCGCCGUGAGCCACCCGCUCACCUGGAGACUCGGCAUCCUACAUGCAGAUCGGCACCACGCACAUCAGUACCUCCUAGAGACCCAUACGUGACACACACGUACAUACACGAGCUGGACCUAAACACUCUACGCGCUACGCACUCACGUACAUCACACACAUGACGUGUCUAUUUUCCAACAAACUGCCCCUAAACACGACAAGUCGUGUUCCGCCAUUACAGCAACGUCAGCUCGUCCUCCACGUUGACGAGGAGUGCCUUCUCUUUCUUCUUCGCGCGACAGUCACACGCCAUGUGCCCCCGCUCGCAGCACUUGAAGCAGCGCCCGCGGUAGCGUCUUUUGUCGCGCCUGCUCAUGCACGAGAGUAUGUUGCUGGUGUCGUCGUCACUAUUGUCAUGGUCAUUAUCGCCGCCAUUCCCGCGACGCCCAUUUCCACCGCGUGCAUGCUCCUUCCCGCGUUGUCGACGAUGUGCCUCCCACUGCUCCUCCGUGAGAGCAGCUGUUCAACGCCCACUGCAAUAGCCUGCUUCGCGUCAUCGUUGUCUGCGUCCUCCGCCACGCGGAGUUAGACGACGAGCUCUUCAAUCGUCGUCGUGUUGAGGUUGGUGAGCAUCUCGAUCGCCACAGCCACCUGCUUGAGGCGCUUGGGGACAACGCAGAGGAUCUUCUUCAUGACGCGGUGGUCCUCCAGCGUCUCGCCCAUCUCUCGAAGGCUUGCGACGAGGCUGUUGAUCUGCAACGCGAAGUCGCCGAUGCUCUCACCAACGCGGAAGCCGACGUUCUCGUACUCUUUCCACAAGUGUUGCACGCUCGCGGCCUUCACCCGGUCAUCGUCGAUCCUCAUCGACUUCACCGCCUCCCACGCUUCUUUCGUCGUCUUCUUCACGACGAGCCCCGCCUUCAUCUCCGGUGGCACUACGCGUAGGAUGGCGACCAUUGCCCGCCGAUCCUUGGGACGCUCCUUGCACACGGCCUCCACCGCGCCCACAGUUCCAUUGCCUCCAGCGAGACCUGCAAUACCAAUGCCCACUCGUGGUAAUUCGACUUGGUCAGCAGCGGGAGCUGGUGUUGAUGACGUGCUCCAUCGCGGCAGUGCGACACUCGUCGAGCCCACACCGUCGAACAUCUUGAGGCCAUCCUUUGCCGGCGAUGUCUCCAUCCUACCUCUGAUACCAAUUGUUGGAACUGGAUCGUCGACACAUGGCGUGUCCGUCAAGGCUGCCCGCACACACGGUGCGCCCACCCAGGCUGUCGGGCCGCGACACACGCGCCCACACGUAUAGCAGCGGGCUUUAGGUCUCUUGGGCCAACACUCCCCCCAAAAAAGCUAGCCUAUUAGGGGGUUGCACCCUCAACCAUAUAAACCAUGCUUUCCCACCCUCACCACACAAUGUGGGACUAUUCCCAACAAUCUCCCCCUCACACAUUAUGAGCCAAGAUUUGUUUGAGAAUGCAUUGGGCCAACCUGGCUCUGAUACCAAUUGUUAGAACCGGCCCCUGCCCAAGGACACUCUCCCUCCCUCGCUCGCUCACGGAUGCAAAGAAGAUGAGUAGUAGUUUUCUCCGGCGACAAACGCCUGUUUCUUGGCACUUUUAUUCCCUGGGCUU
rnacentral:lncRNA from 1 species